GAUGAACGCUAGCUACAGGCUUAACACAUGCAAGUCGAGGGGCAGCAUGGUCUUAGCUUGCUAAGGCCGAUGGCGACCGGCGCACGGGUGAGUAACACGUAUCCAACCUGCCGUCUACUCUUGGACAGCCUUUUGAAAGGAAGAUUAAUACAAGAUGGCAUCAUGAGUCCACAUGUUCACAUGAUUAAAGGUAUUCCGGUAGACGAUGGGGAUGCGUUCCAUUAGAUAGUAGGCGGGGUAACGGCCCACCUAGUCUUCGAUGGAUAGGGGUUCUGAGAGGAAGGUCCCCCACAUUGGAACUGAGACACGGUCCAAACUCCUACGGGAGGCAGCAGUGAGGAAUAUUGGUCAAUGGGCGAGAGCCUGAACCAGCCAAGUAGCGUGAAGGAUGACUGCCCUAUGGGUUGUAAACUUCUUUUAUAAAGGAAUAAAGUCGGGUAUGGAUACCCGUUUGCAUGUACUUUAUGAAUAAGGAUCGGCUAACUCCGUGCCAGCAGCCGCGGUAAUACGGAGGAUCCGAGCGUUAUCCGGAUUUAUUGGGUUUAAAGGGAGCGUAGAUGGAUGUUUAAGUCAGUUGUGAAAGUUUGCGGCUCAACCGUAAAAUUGCAGUUGAUACUGGAUAUCUUGAGUGCAGUUGAGGCAGGCGGAAUUCGUGGUGUAGCGGUGAAAUGCUUAGAUAUCACGAAGAACUCCGAUUGCGAAGGCAGCCUGCUAAGCUGCAACUGACAUUGAGGCUCGAAAGUGUGGGUAUCAAACAGGAUUAGAUACCCUGGUAGUCCACACGGUAAACGAUGAAUACUCGCUGUUUGCGAUAUACAGCAAGCGGCCAAGCGAAAGCGUUAAGUAUUCCACCUGGGGAGUACGCCGGCAACGGUGAAACUCAAAGGAAUUGACGGGGGCCCGCACAAGCGGAGGAACAUGUGGUUUAAUUCGAUGAUACGCGAGGAACCUUACCCGGGCUUAAAUUGCAGAUGAAUUACGGUGAAAGCCGUAAGCCGCAAGGCAUCUGUGAAGGUGCUGCAUGGUUGUCGUCAGCUCGUGCCGUGAGGUGUCGGCUUAAGUGCCAUAACGAGCGCAACCCUUGUUGUCAGUUACUAACAGGUUCCGCUGAGGACUCUGACAAGACUGCCAUCGUAAGAUGUGAGGAAGGUGGGGAUGACGUCAAAUCAGCACGGCCCUUACGUCCGGGGCUACACACGUGUUACAAUGGGGGGUACAGAGGGCCGCUACCACGCGAGUGGAUGCCAAUCCCAAAAACCUCUCUCAGUUCGGACUGGAGUCUGCAACCCGACUCCACGAAGCUGGAUUCGCUAGUAAUCGCGCAUCAGCCACGGCGCGGUGAAUACGUUCCCGGGCCU
rnacentral:rRNA from 1 species